rnacentral:lncRNA from 1 species
UGAAUGGGAGAUAUCAUCUGCCCAACGAAGAGAGAGAAGCUCCUGCUUCAGAUGCGGGAGUCUACCCAGGGCCCUGGCUCCUCAUUCCUGGGAGCUAGGAUCCCAGCUGGUAAAGGGGCAGGGGUGGGUGUGGGGUGAUUGUGAGGGAGAAGGGAAAGGGCUAGGGGAGGCCUGAGGCUCUCAGCAGGGGGCAAGGUGAGUGUCAAGGGACAAAUGCCCUUUCAGCUGUCUGGAAGAAUGGAAAGGGGAAUUCAGCUGAACUCAACCAUUUCUCCUGGGACUGCCUGGGCUACAGUAGCUGGUGCUUCUUUAGACCAGGAAAGGUGAAGGCAGCACCCUCAAGGCUGGGACCCUGAGUAGCUGACUCCCAUCCGUUUUGUUCAAAGCCCCUCUCCCAAGGAGCAGACCAUCUUCAGAGAAUAUUUCCAUCUGGGUGUCUAUUCUCCCUAACCAGUCACACUGAAUUCUCUUUUCAAUAGGCCAGACACUUGCUAGCGAGUUUUCUAGAGAUCACUGAUUGAGAGUAGAAUGGGACCACAGAGGUCUUCAAGUACAAAUCUUUCAUUUGACAGGGAGGGAAACCGAGUCCCAGGUGGAGGUGUGUAUCCUUCCUAAAGUCAGAAGCAGUAAAAAGGGGAGGCAGGAUUUGACCAUAAACCCUCUGACCCCCAACCCUCUUUGAAUUCUAUCAGAACAAUAGUACCCUAGAAUGCCAGGCUUCCAGGGCCACUAACUGUCACCCUUUGGACCUACAGUCAUCAAGUGAAUCAAGAGUACUUCCUCUGGGCCGCUGCUGUGGGACAUGAAGGAGGGAGGAGGGGAGCUGGGAUUCGAGGACCUUGGAGAUGCCUGACCCCAUCUCUCUGGAAGAUUGCACUCUUCUGUGGGCUCACAGUCCACUCAGUCUGUGACUAUUGGUUGCCCUCCUCCAUCAUGCCCAAGAAAGCUUUCAUCUUGCAAGAUCACUUCAGCCUUGGCACCUUGGGCCCCAUCUUAUGAUUGGAGGGUGGAGACCUCUCCUCCCAGAAGCUCCAUUGAAGGAGGGCGCCCAGGAACCCAACAUCCAGUGAAAUGAAGUGACAAGGUACAGUCACACGGGAGAAACUUGGCCAACCCGAGGUCUGGGGGUGAGGGAGGCUGGGGAAAUGGUGCUCAGCUCAGUGGGGAGGAGGCUCCGAGCCAGGGCUCCAAACACUCCGAGGCAGUGUAACAGGACAAAAGCAGGCCUAGUCCAAUGGGUGGAAAGGGAGAGCCAAGUGGAUUGAGCCAUUUGUCCUGAGAUGGGGAUGCCCUUGGUGCUUUUUAGACCCCCCGCCCCCAAAGGUGAAGGCAGUGCCCCCGAGGCUGGGACACUUGAUUGGCUGGCUCCCAACCUUUUUUUUUUUUUUGUUUUUGUUUUUGGCAAUUGGGAUUAAG